UACGUAGGGUGCAAGCGUUGUCCGGAAUUAUUGGGCGUAAAGCGCUCGCAGGUGGUUCGUUGCGUCGUGCGUGAAAAGACCCCCGGCUCAACUGGGGGAGGGUCGUGCGAUACGGGCGAACUGGAGGCCAGUAGGGGGGAUGCGGAAUUCCGGGUGUAGUGGUGGAAUGCGUAGAGAUCCGGAGGAACACCAGCGGCGAAGGCGGCAUCCUGGACUGGUCCUGACACUCAUGAGCGAAAGCGUGGGGAGCGAUCCGG
rnacentral:rRNA from 1 species